rnacentral:rRNA from 1 species
AGAGUUUGAUCCUGGCUCAGGAUGAACGCUAGCUACAGGCUUAACACAUGCAAGUCGAGGGGCAGCAUGGUCUUAGCUUGCUAAGGCUGAUGGCGACCGGCGCACGGGUGAGUAACACGUAUCCAACCUGCCGUCUACUCUUGGCCAGCCUUCUGAAAGGAAGAUUAAUCCAGGAUGGCAUCAUGAGUUCACAUGUCCGCAUGAUUAAAGGUAUUUUCCGGUAGACGAUGGGGAUGCGUUCCAUUAGAUAGUAGGCGGGGUAACGGCCCACCUAGUCAACGAUGGAUAGGGGUUCUGAGAGGAAGGUCCCCCACAUUGGAACUGAGACACGGUCCAAACUCCUACGGGAGGCAGCAGUGAGGAAUAUUGGUCAAUGGGCGAUGGCCUGAACCAGCCAAGUAGCGUGAAGGAUGACUGCCCUAUGGGUUGUAAACUUCUUUUAUAAAGGAAUAAAGUCGGGUAUGCAUACCCGUUUGCAUGUACUUUAUGAAUAAGGAUCGGCUAACUCCGUGCCAGCAGCCGCGGUAAUACGGAGGAUCCGAGCGUUAUCCGGAUUUAUUGGGUUUAAAGGGAGCGUAGAUGGAUGUUUAAGUCAGUUGUGAAAGUUUGCGGCUCAACCGUAAAAUUGCAGUUGAUACUGGAUGUCUUGAGUGCAGUUGAGGCAGGCGGAAUUCGUGGUGUAGCGGUGAAAUGCUUAGAUAUCACGAAGAACUCCGAUUGCGAAGGCAGCCUGCUAAGCUGCAACUGACAUUGAGGCUCGAAAGUGUGGGUAUCAAACAGGAUUAGAUACCCUGGUAGUCCACACGGUAAACGAUGAAUACUCGCUGUUUGCGAUAUACGGCAAGCGGCCAAGCGAAAGCGUUA